AAAAAGCCAGGGCAACAGCUUCAAUAACAAAAUGUCUGGUAGUGGGAGUUUCUUUCCAUUUUAGCUGCUUAUAAUUAAAUGACAAGCUCAUAUAGGUUCAUUAUAACCCCCUCUGUAUAAUUGGAGGAAGCUGUCUUAGAUUUAUGUUGUUAAUUGCUCAUGAGAGAGUCUCUUUUCCUACAAAGUCAGACUGAAGAGAGCAAGCUUCGCUUCUGUGCAGCAAUGAGGCCAGAAUCUGGGAGCUCACACAGUCACGAUGUUACUCAAGUCUUUGUAUAUUUCAGACAGGUGUCCACAUCCCCAAAAAUGCGACUAGAAAUGACAUCUUUGUUGACAGCCUCAUCAGAUUAAUUGGACUUCAGGACUGAGCUAAUUCUCACAUCAAGAGGUUUGAGAACAUACUGUCGGAGCUGCGUGAAGAACUUUGAACUCCUGUUUCUUGUGCUGUCGCCAGAUCAUAACAGCUUUGAUGGACUGGAUUAGGAAAUCAAUAUACACACAUUGACAUGCUAAUCCCUUCAGGGACACUCAUUAAAUAACAUUCAGAUAAAGGGGCCAUAACUGUAUGUGUGGAAUCAAUGGCUGCAGCAGAGUUAGGUUUUGUUUGCUUUAGUACUUUUAAAUAAUUUAACAUUUUUAAAACUCCAAACAUGCAAAGCAUUAAAAAUAUGAAUUAAACCCCUGAGAGCACUCAAAUUAGUAUUAAAUUAGACCUGAAACGUUAAGAGCAUGAAAAAGAGGCAGGUUUUCAUUUUUGUUCAUGCACAUUAAUGUCAAGAAACUCCUCAGAGUGAAAGGGAUCUGCUGGGUCACAGGUUCAGUUCUCUGCUGCAGGAGAUAUCUGCGCCAUCCAGUGUCUCCCAUAAAGUGAUCAAGCACUGUUUUAAAACUAAUUAGAAUUUUUCCCCUCCUGGGACUUUGCUCUGUAACCUUUCUCCAGGAAUGGGUAGAGAUCCUCAUCUAAUUUCAGACUAAAUGUAUUCCUGGCUAAUUUUUUUUUUGUUGUUGUUGUUCUUUUUUCUUCCUUUUCAUUCAGCCUCCAGAUCCUUUUCCCUUCUUUGUUGCUCAUACGAUGUAUCUGCAGACAGGGGCACCUUCCCUCAGUCCUUGCUUUGUAAGGCUGAAUGGGCUGAAGCAGUGAAGUGUCUCCUGCAGGUAUUCGUGUCCUCCAUUCACCCCAAUAGUCUUUUUCUGCUCCUGUUCCUGUAGGAGUGCAGUUCUUCUGCACAUCAAUAGCAUCACUUUUCUUGUGCCUCAGAUGACAUCACCACCAUAUCUCAGCUGAUACAGAACACACUCAUUUUUAAAGGUCCAUUUUUAAAGAUGUCUCAUGAGUCAGACAGAACCUCAUCCCUCCAGGAUGCUGAUUGGUCCCAUUUCAUGGGAUUAUGUUAUCAAUUUUGACUUCAAAUAACCAUCUUAGAAUUUUCAGCACUGUAAAUUAUCCCUUUUUUUCUUCAUUUGAUCUCUUUACUCCUUGAUGCUCAAAGUAGGCAUCAUAUGACUCCAUUUAAUUGAUUAUUCUGCUGUUGUCUGUUUCAUCUAGCGUUAUUAACAAGUGCCUCCUUAUCUCAUUUUUGGGAGGUUUGUUAGCAGGGGGAUCAGCUGGAUCAAUACCCACAUGAUAGAGAUGCUAAUUGCUUUGUCUACAGCUAUGUUAACUUGUAGUCCUCCUUGCCAAUCUUACAUGCAGUUCUAGUGUGAAUUCUUGAUAGAUUCUCAAAAUAUGCUGCAUAUUUUAAUUCAUUUUUUUGUUUACAUACGUGUAAGAUUUAGCCUCAAAUGAGGCAUUUCCUGACAUUUUGAAAAAAAUCUGAAAUUUCUGACCUUCUUUCUUAUAUAAACUGAUGUGCUGCUGUUUUGCACCCUGAGCUAUUGAAUGUUGGCAGAGCAUUAUAUAGAAAAACAGGUGAUCCAUCUUGUGCUCCAUAGUUCUGCCCACUCCUUUUGUACAGUUUCACUGAACUGUUUUCAUAGGACCAAUGCACUGAAAUCAUUCGUGCCUAUGUAAAAGUCUUACUUUGGGUUUAAGAAUGUCUUAUUUUAAUCAAUAGGCUGACAACAAGCCAACCUUCAUUAUGCUACCUUUGAUUGCAAAAGAAGUGUAUUUUGGUCUUAACUUCUCAUUACAAACCUGGGCUCACUAAGUAAAUAUGAAUACAAGGAACCCUGGUUUGUCUCUUACAGUUUGUGCUAUGUUUAAACGAGCUAGCUUUUAAAGAGGGCAGAGAAAACCAUAGCCUUUGUUUUCUCUCUCCCUGCUUUUUAAGCCUUAGUUUUGAAUAGUGUGUGUAAAUUCAUCGAUAGAAGGGAGGAGGCACUUAAUGAACAUCACACAGAAGCAGACUUUCAAGGUCAGAUCUGGAAAACAAGCAAAGAGAUCUGUGAAUUUUGUUAUCUAUCUGUUCCAACACUGUUCCCUCUAUUCACCUCUCUGUUCAUUUCUUACUGCUGCAGGAAAAUGGCAGAUCUAAUUUAAUAUGUAUGUGUGUGUUAUUGUGCCAUGCAGAGCAUGUGUAUAUUUACACUGGAAACAGAACUGAAGGCAGUGAUCAAUUUGAUAGGCUAUAUCACAAAACAUGGAUAAAACACUCUCUAUUCUUGUACGUUAUAAUUGUUUUUUCAUAUCUCUCCUGAAAAGAUUGCACAGAUGAAGUGUCAUUAAAUGCUUCUCUUCUACAACUC
ensembl:lncRNA